CCUACGGGAGGCAGCAGUGAGGAAUAUUGGUCAAUGGCCGGAAGGCUGAACCAGCCAUGCCGCGUGAAGGUCAGUGCCCUAUGGGCGUUAAACUUCUUUUGUGCGGGAGCAAUAAUGGUCACGUGUGGCCAGACGAGAGUACCGUACGAAUAAGCAUCGGCUAACUCCGUGCCAGCAGCCGCGGUAAUACAGGGGAUGCAAGCGUUAUCCGGAUUUAUUGGGUUUAAAGGGGGCGUAGGCUGUGAGGUAAGUCAGCGGGGAAAUGCCCCCGCUCAACGGGGUGAAGUGCCAUUGAUACUGCCUUGCUGGAAUGCGGAUGCCGUGGGAGGAAUGUGUGGUGUAGCGGUGAAAUGCAUAGAUAUCACACAGAACACCGAUUGCGAAGGCAUCUCACGAAUCCGCGAUUGACGCUGAUGCACGAAAGCGUGGGUAUCAAACAGGAUUAGAUACCCGAGUAGUC
rnacentral:rRNA from 1 species